GCCGCUGUCCGGUAUCCUUGGCGCCGCUCAUAACGGUGUUGUCGUCGGUUCGAAUCCGGCCGGGCCCACCA
rnacentral:tRNA from 1 species